rnacentral:rRNA from 1 species
UACGUAGGGGGCAAGCGUUGUCCGGACUUACUGGGCGUAAAGCGCGUGCAGGCGGAUUGGUAUGUGCCGUGUGAAAGCUCUCAGCUUGCCUGGGAGAGGUCGCGGUAGACAGCCGAUCUGGAGGCUCGGAGAGGUCAGUGGAAUUCCCGGUGUAGUGGUGAAAUGCGUAGAUAUCUGGAAGAACACCAAUGGCGAAGGCAAUGUUCUGGCUCGUUUCUGACGCUCAGGUGCGAAAGCCAGGGGAGCGAACGGG